CGGGAUGCAGCAGUGGGGAAUAUUGCACAAUGGGCGAAAGCCUGAUGCAGCAACGCCGCGUGAGGGACGAAGGCCUUCGGGUUGUAAACCUCUUUUAGUAGGGAAGAAGCGAAAGUGACGGUACCUGCAGAAAAAGCACCGGCUAACUACGUGCCAGCAGCCGCGGUAAUACGUAGGGUGCAAGCGUUGUCCGGAAUUAUUGGGCGUAAAGAGCUCGUAGGCGGUUUGUCGCGUCUGCUGUGAAAUCUGGGGGCUCAACCCCCAGCCUGCAGUGGGUACGGGCAGACUAGAGUGCGGUAGGGGAGAUUGGAAUUCCUGGUGUAGCGGUGGAAUGCGCAGAUAUCAGGAGGAACACCAAUGGCGAAGGCAGAUCUCUGGGCCGUUACUGACGCUGAGGAGCGAAAGCGUGGGGAGCAAACAGGAUUAGAUACCCCCGU
rnacentral:rRNA from 1 species